rnacentral:rRNA from 1 species
GAGUUUGAUCAUGGCUCAGAAUGAACGCUGGCGGCGUGCCUAACACAUGCAAGUCGAACGAGAAAUUCCGACUUCGGUUGGAAGAGUAAAGUGGCGCACGGGUGAGUAACGCGUGGGUAACCUGCCCUUGAAUCUGGGAUAACUUCGCGAAAGCGUUGCUAAUACCGGAUAUCGUCCAGAGAACCCAGGUUUUCUGGAUGAAAGGUGACCUCUUCAUGAAAGUUGUCGUUCAGGGAGGGGCCCGCGUACCAUUAGCUUGUUGGUGGGGUAAUGGCCUACCAAGGCUACGAUGGUUAGCUGGUCUGAGAGGAUGAUCAGCCACACUGGAACUGAAACACGGUCCAGACUCCUACGGGAGGCAGCAGUGAGGAAUUUUGCGCAAUGGGGGAAACCCUGACGCAGCAACGCCGCGUGAGUGAAGAAGGCUUUCGGGUCGUAAAGCUCUGUCAAGUGGGAAAAAAUUUUCCCGGUGAAUAGCCGGGAAGACUGAUGGUACCACUAAAGGAAGCACCGGCUAACUCCGUGCCAGCAGCCGCGGUAAUACGGAGGGUGCAAGCGUUGUUCGGAAUUAUUGGGCGUAAAGAGCGUGUAGGCGGCUUGGUAAGUCAGAUGUGAAAGCCCAGGGCUCAACCCUGGAAGUGCAUUUGAUACUGCCAUGCUUGAGUAUGGGAGAGGAGAGCGGAAUUCCCAGUGUAGAGGUGAAAUUCGUAGAUAUUGGGAGGAACACCCGUGGCGAAGGCGGCUCUCUGGACCAAUACUGACGCUGAGACGCGAAAGCGUGGGGAGCAAACAGGAUUAGAUACCCUGGUAGUCCACGCCGUAAACGAUGAGAANNUAGGUGUAGCGGGUAUUGACCCCUGCUGUGCNGCAGCUAACGCAUUAA